rnacentral:rRNA from 1 species
CACGAAACUUAACGAGCUAAUUAUUAUAUGCGGUUCGGCAAUAAUAUGUGGCAUAAUAAGUAUAAUUAAUAGUAGUUAGGGGUGACAGGCUUGCCAAGUUAAGGGAUAACUUGAUUUUUCUUGAAAAGUAUUUAGUACAUUUAUAGACCUAAAGUUAUAAGGUUUUAGGUAAGUAUUAAGAAUUAUAUAGUUAGUGUUACUAAGCUUAAUCGCUGGUAAUGGGAGAAUCAAAUAUUAAAUUAGUUGACUUAUUGUUAAUAAGAAAUAAUAAAUAAAUUAUAUGAAUUAUUUAUAAUGUUAGUAUGAGUAUUUUAUGAGGUAAAAAUAAUAAACUCGGCAAGGUGUCCUUCGACUGUUUAUCAAAAACAUAGUCGGGUGUAAGUAUACUCGAUAUUUUCUGCUCAAUGAUUUUUUAAAUAGCCGCAGUACCCUGACUGUGCAAAGGUAGCGCAAUCAAUUGGCUUUUAAUUGAAGUCCUGUAUGAAGAACGCACGGAAGAUAACUGUAUCAUUCUUAUAGUAAUAAAUUACUUAUUAGGUGCAAAAACCUAUAUGGAAAUAAUAGACGAGAAGACCCUAGAAAUUUUAAGAAUCUGCUCUUAAUACUUUUUGUUGGGGCAACAUAGUAGCGUAACCCUACAUAAAUGACAUGCAAUUAUUUGGUAUGAUUAAAUUACUCUAGGGAUAACAGCAUAAUUUGAUAAAGUUUGUGACCUCGAUGUUGGACUAGGAAAUUGAUGUUUAGAA